rnacentral:rRNA from 1 species
CAAGGAAUUUUCCGCAAUGGGCGAAAGCCUGACGGAGCAACGCCGCGUGUGGGAUGACGCUUUUCGGAGUGUAAACCACUUUUCUUGGGGACGACGAGCGACGGUACCCGAGGAAUAAGGACCGGCUAACUACGUGCCAGCAGCCGCGGUAAUACGUAGGGUCCGAGCGUUGUCCGGAGUUACUGGGCGUAAAGCGCGCGCAGGCGGCUUGGCAAGCAUGGCGUGAAAGCCCCCGGCUUAACCGGGGAGAGUCGUCGUGGACUGCCAGGCUUGAGGGCGGUAGGGGUUGGUGGAAUUCCCGGUGUAGUGGUGAAAUGCGUAGAGAUCGGGAGGAACACCCGUGGCGAAGGCGGCCAACUGGGCCGACCCUGACGCUGAGGCGCGAAGGCGUGGGGAGCGAACGG